rnacentral:rRNA from 1 species
CCUACGGGGGGCUGCAGUAAGGAAUAUUGGUCAAUGGAGGAAACUCUGAACCAGCCAUCCCGCGUGAAGGAUGAAGGGGCUCUGCCUUGUAAACUUCUUUUGUCUGGGGCGAAAAAGCUCGAUUUAUCGAGAACUGACGGUACCAGAAGAAUAAGCACCGGCUAACUCCGUGCCAGCCGCCGCGGUAAUACGGAGGUUGCAAGCGUUAUCCGGUAUAAAGGGGUCGUAAGGGUCUGUGGAAGGCAGAGGAGAAAGGCUGUGGCUUAACCAUGGAAUUGCCAUUGAUACUGCAGAGCUUGAAUGAGGUUGAGGUUGGCGGAAUGUGACAUGUAGCGGUGAAAUGCUUAGAUAUGUCAUGGAACACCGAUUGCGAAGGCAGCGGACUGGACCUAUAUUGACGCUGAGGCACGAAAGCGUGGGGAGCGAACAGGAUUAGAUACCCUAGUAGUC